rnacentral:rRNA from 1 species
CCUACGGGGGGCUGCAGUGGGGAAUAUUGGACAAUGGGGGGAACCCUGAUCCAGCCAUGCCGCGUGUGUGAAGAAGGCCCUCGGGUUGUAAAGCACUUUCAGUGAGGAAGAACGCCUGGUGGUUAAUACCCAUCAGGAAAGACAUCACUCACAGAAGAAGCACCGGCUAACUCCGUGCCAGCAGCCGCGGUAAUACGGAGGGUGCGAGCGUUAAUCGGAAUUACUGGGCGUAAAGCGCGCGUAGGUGGUUUGAUAAGCCGGUUGUGAAAGCCCCGGGCUCAACCUGGGAACGGCAUCCGGAACUGUCAAGCUAGAGUGCAGGAGAGGAAGGUAGAAUUCCCGGUGUAGCGGUGAAAUGCGUAGAGAUCGGGAGGAAUACCAGUGGCGAAGGCGGCCUUCUGGACUGACACUGACACUGAGGUGCGAAAGCGUGGGUAGCAAACAGGAUUAGAUACCCUAGUAGUC